rnacentral:rRNA from 1 species
UACGAAGGUCCCGAGCGUUGUUCGGAAUCACUGGGCGUAAAGGGAGCGUAGGCGGUUUGGUAAGUCUGGUGUGAAAUCUCCACGCUCAACGUGGAGGGGCCACCCGAUACUGCCAUGACUGGAGUCCGGUAGAGGAGUGUGGAAUUCCCGGUGUAGCGGUGAAAUGCGCAGAUAUCGGGAGGAACACCCGUAGCGAAGGCGGCACUCUGGGCCGGAACUGACGCUGAGGAGCGAAAGCGUGGGGAGCAAACAGG